rnacentral:rRNA from 1 species
UGGGGAAUAUUGCACAAUGGGGGAAACCCUGAUGCAGCGACGCCGCGUGAACGAAGAAGGUAUUCGUAUCGUAAAGUUCUGUCCUAUGGGAAGAUAAUGACAGUACCAUAGAAGAAAGCUCCGGCUAAAUACGUGCCAGCAGCCGCGGUAAUACGUAUGGAGCGAGCGGUGUCCGGAAUUAUUGGGCGUAAAGGGUACGCAGGCGGUUUAAUAAGUCGAAUGUUAAAGAUCGGGGCUCAACCCCGCAAAGCAUUGGAAACUGAUAAACUUGAGUAGUGGAGAGGAAAGUGGAAUUCCUAGUGUAGUGGUGAAAUACGUAGAUAUUAGGAGGAAUACCAGUAGCGAAGGCGACUUUCUGGACACAAACUGACGCUGAGGUACGAAAGCGUGGGGAGCAAACAGG